GCAUUGGUGAUUCAUUGGUAGAAUUCUGGCCUUUUAUGUCAUGUGGGAAACCCAGGUUAGAUUCCCAGCCAGUACA
rnacentral:tRNA from 1 species